UUGAGCAGACAGCACUGCAUGGAAGAAGUAAAAAAAUAAAUUAUUGUCACCUUCUGUCGUUGCUAUAAAUUAAAUAAUUAGAAUUUUUUCUUCCUGUCUGAAGCUGAACAGAGCAUAAAACGAGAAUGUGGUACUUGAAUGCCAUCCUCUAGUGAAAAAUCUCAUCUGUUACACUAAUCAUGUCAGAGAUCAUGUGUUUAGUGUGAAGGUCCUUCGAAUCACCUCUGGGUUGACACAGGUAGAAUUCUUUGAAAGAGCAAAAAUGGCACUAAUGACUCAACAUAAAACCAACUUAUCCACAUACAGGCAUACCAGCCUUGCAAAAGGCCCGGAACGCAGCAUGCACAGAUGAUUUUGAUCAAUACAGUGACUAUUAAUAAAGCAUCUGACAGUUCUUGUCCAAGAACUGCCACAGUAUGUGUGAGGGAAAAUGCAUCCAGUGAGCUCUUGGUGCUCACCAGCGGGUGCCCACAGAAGGGUAUACAAGGGUGAAGCUUCCCACUGAUGAACCUUUCCACAAUUUCCAUGUGUCUCCAGCAUUCUGCCAUACAACUUCCCCUACCCAAUCACACGCACCGCUGUGUUUAACAACCACUGCAGAUCUGAACUUUGGUCUUAGUGGUGUAAUGUUCUUCCUCACACUUUAAACAUUGAAAAACGCUUGUGAAAAAGUUAGGCAUACAUAUUCCUAGCAACGUACAAAUGUGGCACGCGUUGAGGUGCAGCACUAAAUAAGGAAUCUUCUUGUGCUGUUGCCUGCUCUGGGCUGGCUGUACGUGUUACUAAACCAAUUUAUCAGCUCCAUACAUACGGGGGGUGCCCUCGUGCUCGUGCCUCCCACACAAAGGAGAUAACCCCACUCAGCCCUUUGGAUUCACCUCCGCUACGGCAGAGGGAGCCUGCAGGCCUCGGACAUGGUUAUAACAGCACCGAGGGUUUUCACGUCACUUGGGCGGCUGGAUGAACACGAAUGCUCUUCCGUGCACCCUAAUUACUGUCAGCUGUCACCGCUGCGAGGCGACCCUCGCCCUCCUCCUUCAGCGCGCUGCUUCCCGCCUCCGGACGGCGGCUCGGGGGCUGCUCCUCUCCCCGCCCGUAGCUCCCUAAAC
ensembl:lncRNA